rnacentral:lncRNA from 1 species
AGAGAGCAAAUUAGAAUCCAAGGAAGUUGACAUGUCAUCACUUCAUUUUUUUGCGCCUGCGCAUAAAUCUGAGAAACGUGAGUUUUGUCUUCAUUGUUUAUCUCGACAUAGGAUAGGUUAUGUGAAAAUAUUACUGAUGUUUAACGUUAAAAAUGGACCAAAAGAUUAAUGCUAAACAACAUUUGACAUGUUUGAACGAACAUAAAUAGAUUAUUUACUAGGUUUUUUUAGCUUUUCGGCGUGAUUUUACAGUCCCCCACCACGUUUUGUGGGAGCAUAAUGAACGCUAAGUACUUGGUGUUAUUUGGACAUAAAUUAUGAACUUUGUCAAAAGAAACCACAUUUGUUCCGGACCUGUGAUGCCUUCCGGACCUGGGAUGCCAGGCUUCUGAUGGAGAUAAUCAAAGCCUUGUUAGCAAUCCCGGCUCGGGGUUCAUUGCUAACCUGUAGCCCCAACAGGUUUUAACAGCCGAGAAACCCACUCUGACUUCACCCCAUCUGCCUAAAUAGAUAGAGUUUGCUGCUUUCUUGUCUUGUAUCGUCUCGGCGUCCAUACACUGAGUGUGUAGGUGGAAACUUCAAUGGGUGCAAUGUCCAGGAGGAACAAGAGAACAAGGAUUUACAAGAGAAUGAGGUACCUGAAGAAGAAGACGGGGAAGAAUACAACCCAGAGCACGAUGCAUCAUCUUCAGAUGAUGAAGAAAUCCCCCAAGCUGAAAGAGAGACAUUUUUGUCAAAGAACAGCAAAAUAACAUGGUCCUUGUCCCCAUAUGACAACCAGGGCAGGAUGGCAGCACAAAAUGUCAUAAGGAUGACCCCAGGGCCCAGAAGACAUGCACUUGCAGAUGCCCAGGACAUCGCCUCAACAUUCUACAUGUUCAUCACACCAGCCAUCGAAAAAAGCAUCCUGGUGAUGACAAAUUUGUAGGGUUUCCGGAAAUAUGGAGACAACUCGAAAAGGAUGGAUGAGAUUAACCUGCAUGCCUACAUAGGGCUGCUAAUCUUAGCGGGUGAGUAUAAGUCCCGAGGUGAGGCUACAUGUAGUCUAUGGGAUGCAGACUGCCACUGAAAGUCUUUCACACUUUCUGAAGAAUACUACGAUUUGAUAACCGUGAGUCAAGACCUGCAAAAAGUGAGAGAGACAAACUGGCGGCCAUAAGAGAGCUCUGGAAGAAGUGGGUGGAGCGUCUGCCAUACCUCUACAACCCUGGCACUGAAGUAACAGUGGAUGAGCAACUGGUUCCAAUCAGAGGUCGCUGUCCUUUCCGGCAGUAUAAGCCCAGCAAGCCAGCAAAGUUUGGCAUCCAGAUAUGGGUGGCUUGUGACGCACAAUCCAGCUAUGCUUGGAAGAUGGAAGUCUACACAGGGAAGCCGACCAGUGGAGGCCCAGAGAAGAACCAGGGCAUGCGGGUUGUGCUUGAUGUGACAGAUGGACUGAGGGGGCACAAUGUCUCGUGUGACAAUUUCUUCACCUCUUAUGAACUCAGCCAGCAGCUCAAGAAGAGGAAGAUCACCCUGGUUGGCAAACUUAGAAAGAACAAGCCUGAGCUCCCCCCUGCACUCCUUGCAACAAGGGGGAAAGAGGCCUUCUCAUCAAAGUUUGCGUUUACCCCCAUCACCACUCUAUUUUUUUACCUCCCAAAGAAGAACAAGAAUGUGGUCCUCCUGAGCACACUGCACAAAAUGGCUGAGAUCAAUGAUCAUGAGGACAGGAAGCCAGCCAUCAUCCUGGACUACAUCCACAACAAAGGAGGCAUUGACAACCUGGACAAGGUGAUUGGUACUUACAGCUGCAGGAGGAUGACUGCCCGCUGGCCCCUGGUCAUCUUCCAUAACAUCAUUGAUGUGUCGUCAUACAAUGACUUCAUGAUAUGGAACAAGAUCAAACCUACCUGGAUGCCUGAUAAGCGGAACAAGAGGAGGGUGUUCCUGGAGCAGCUGGGAAAGGCACUUAUAACCCUACACAUUCUAUGAAGGGAGCGCCUCCCCCACACAGAAGCCUGUGCAGUGCUUGUGGAAGCUGUUCAGGGGGAUGAAACUUGUCCUGAUCCACCUGAGGCUGCAGCUCGGGCAGGAAAGAUGAGGAGAUGCCAAUUCUGCCCCCCAAAGAAGGACUGUAAAACAAAUACUAUGUGCUGCACAUGUGAGAAAUAAAUCUGCAAAGUCCAUGCACACACACUUGCAUACUGUCUUACAUGUGCUAAUUAGAGUUGAAUGAUUUAUGUUCUUCAAGUUUUUGUUUUUGUAUCUAUCUAAUUUACUCUUGUUUAUUGUUGUUGUUUAUACACCUUGUGGGUGGGGCAAUGGUUAAAAAAAUG